rnacentral:lncRNA from 1 species
AAUGACCACUUCUAAAUACUGGACACUCUGGCAACAACUGAGCGUCAGCUAUUCCUUAGCAUUACCAAAGAGCAUGCAGCUGAAAGUGAUCCUUGUGGGCUUGGCCAUCUUUGGUCUCAUUGUGGCAGAGAGCGGAGCCAUGCCUGCCAGCAGCUCCAGUGAAGCCGAGGCGAGGGCUGAUCCCGAGACUGCUGAGCGUGCCGAGCAGAGCAACGCCGAAGAAGCACGUAUCGGCGAGGGAUGCUUGGCUUCGCUGUGCGGCUAGUAACCUGAUGCAAUACAGUGAGACGUUCCAAAGAUCGUCUCUCGCAAGAGUAGCACGAAUACUUCAAAAGAAGUACAGGCACUGUCCAGCGCUCCACACCAUGUCCCGGUGGCGAAUAUUGGAGCUUGCGGAUGGCUGUUGACCGCGCUCUUGCAUAUAAUAAAGUUACUUUAAAAA